rnacentral:rRNA from 1 species
CUGGCUCAGGACGAACGCUGGCGGCGUGCCUAAUACAUGCAAGUCGAGCGGAGUUGAUGAGGUGCUUGCACCUCUGAUACUUAGCGGCGGACGGGUGAGUAACACGUGGGUAACCUGCCUGUAAGACUGGGAUAACAUUCGGAAACGAAUGCUAAUACCGGAUACGCGAUAUGGUCGCAUGACCGAAUCGGGAAAGAUGGAGCAAUCUAUCACUUACAGAUGGACCCGCGGCGCAUUAGCUAGUUGGUGAGGUAACGGCUCACCAAGGCGACGAUGCGUAGCCGACCUGAGAGGGUGAUCGGCCACACUGGGACUGAGACACGGCCCAGACUCCUACGGGAGGCAGCAGUAGGGAAUCUUCCGCAAUGGACGAAAGUCUGACGGAGCAACGCCGCGUGAGUGAUGAAGGUUUUCGGAUCGUAAAGCUCUGUUGCCAGGGAAGAAUGCUUGGGAGAGUAACUGCUCUCAAGGUGACGGUACCUGAGAAGAAAGCCCCGGCUAACUACGUGCCAGCAGCCGCGGUAAUACGUAGGGGGCAAGCGUUGUCCGGAAUUAUUGGGCGUAAAGCGCGCGCAGGCGGCCUUGUAAGUCUGUUGUUUAAACUUGGGGCUCAACCCCAAGUCGCAAGGGAAACUGCAAAGCUUGAGUACAGAAGAGGAAAGUGGAAUUCCACGUGUAGCGGUG